UGCACCCAAAAGCGUUUUCUUGUACGCCAAUUCAAUGCGCUUGAAAAUCGUUAGUGUGUGCUAGAUCAAAGCACAGUUGCAAGUGACUUUUUGUAGUUUAUUAAAAGAGUCCAUAACGCUGAGCACAUUU